rnacentral:misc_RNA from 1 species
UACAAUCUUCAAGCCUAGGCUUGGUGUUGGGUCUUCAUCUCUUGCUCUCUCUCCCCCUCUCUGCUUUUUAAGUAGGAGGAGAAGGAGGAGGACCUGGAUGUACCUGAAAAUUAGUUGGCGGUGCCUAUGGUGGCCUCAAGCGUAGCAGACUCUCUCUCGCUUUGGAUGGCCUGUCAUAUAGCUUACCAGCCCUGCAUACAUCUUUAACCAAA